rnacentral:ncRNA from 1 species
AGUAAAGCUGUGAGAGGAAAUAGUAACAAGAUUGAAUUCUCUAGAGAGUCGGUGGUUGGUGUAAACCGAUGAAGGAAGCUUGUGAAUCCAUCCUUGAGUAAAGUACUGAACGAAAUAAGGUAAGGUGGCCGCCUAAGGCGCUUUUGUCUUUCUUAUUAGUAAGUACUUUCGGGUAAAACCGUUAUCGAUUAAGUGGAAAGUAUUUAUACUUUCAAACUGGGUGGCAACGCGGGUAACUCUCGUCCCUUUU